UAAAGCACUUUCAGUCGUGAGGAAGGCGGCGUCGUUAAUAGCGGCGUCGUUUGACGUUAGCGACAGAAGAAGCACCGGCUAACUCCGURCCAGCAGCCGCGGUAAUSCGGAGGGUYCGAGCGUUAAUCGGAAUUACUGGGCGUAAAGCGCAUGCAGGUGGUUUGUUAAGUCAGAUGUGAAAGCCCGGGGCUCAACCUCGGAAUAGCAUUUGAAACUGGCAGACUAGAGUACUGUAGAGGGGGGUAGAAUUUCAGGUGUAGCGGUGAAAUGCGUAGAGAUCUGAAGGAAUACCGGUGGCGAAGGCGGCCCCCUGGACAGAUACUGACACUCAGAUGCGAAAGCGUGGGGAGCAAACAGGAUUAGAUACCCUGGUAGUCCACGCCGUAAACGAUGUCUACUUGGAGGUUGUGGCC
rnacentral:rRNA from 1 species